rnacentral:rRNA from 1 species
AAAAUUUUAAAGGUCGAACAGACCUAAUUUCAUAGCUUCUCCGCCAUAAAUUAAUUUUAAUCCAACAUCGAGGUCGCAAUCUCCUCUAUCGAUAAGAACUCUAAAGAAAAAUUACG